UACGUAGGGGGCAAGCGUUGUCCGGAUUUAUUGGGCGUAAAGAGCGUGUAGGCGGCCAGACAGGUCCGUUGUGAAAACUCGAGGCUCAACCUCGAGACGCCGAUGGAAACCGUCUGGCUAGAGUCCGGAAGAGGAGAGUGGAAUUCCUGGUGUAGCGGUGAAAUGCGCAGAAUAUCGGGAAGAACACCCGUGGCGAAGGCGGCUCUCUGGGCGGU
rnacentral:rRNA from 1 species